rnacentral:tRNA from 1 species
GGAAUCGCCGUAACCCGGUGCUGGCAAAGAACGGACCUCCCUUCGGGCACCGGUCUUGAAAACCGGCGUGGGCUCAACACCCACCGGGGGUUCGAAUCCCUCUCCCUCCGCCA